rnacentral:misc_RNA from 1 species
GAACGCACAUUGCGCCCCUUGGUAUUCCGAGGGGCAUGCCUAUUCGAGCGUCAUUAUCACCCCUCAAGCCUAGCUUGGUGUUGAGGCCUGCUGUGAAGGCAGCCUCUAAAAUCAGUGGCAGUGCUGUCAAGCUCUAAGCGUAGUAAUUCUUCUCGCUAUAGGGUCUUGGUGGACACUCGCCAGAACCCCCCAUUUUUUAAUGAUUGACCUCGGAUUAGGUAGGGAUACCCGCUGAACUUAAG